rnacentral:tRNA from 1 species
GGACCCGUUAGCUCAGCUGGUAGAGCACUUGACUUUUAAUCAAGUGGUCGUGCGUUCGAAUCGCACCGGGCUCA